rnacentral:rRNA from 1 species
CAGCGCCACGAGUGGGAACCACAAUUAUUGGGCCUAAAGCGUUCGUAGCCGGUUACUUAAAUCUUUUGUGAAAUCGUCAGGCUUAACCUGACGGACUGCAGAAGAGACUGGGUAACUAGGGACCGGAAGGGGUCAGGAGUAUUUCAAGGGGAGCGGUAAAAUGUUAUAAUCCUUGGAGGACUACCUGUGGCGAAGGCGCCUGACCAGUACGGGUCCGACGGUGAGGAACGAAAGCUAGGGGAGCAAUCCGGAUUAGAUACCCGAGUAGUCC